AAUCAGUUCUCUGACCGCUGAACGCCUUGAACCUGGCAGUACACUUGAUUUCAUCGUCCCAAUCGGGAACUUGUUUCCUCAAAUACUCCAUAAUUGACUCCUCCUUAACUCCUGUAACAUCCUUCUCCAUUUCCUGGAUUUUGCCCAUCAGAAUUAAACCCUAAUCGAAAACCUCCUACUAUAAUCUAAACACUUAGUGUUCAAA
rnacentral:misc_RNA from 1 species